CGCAGAGGACCUUGCUGGUGACUCGCUGGCGGAAAUGAUUGGAGGGUGGAACAGCCGUUUCAGUUCGCGCCUUCGUGUGGGGCGGGGACCUAGCGAUUCCAGCCCAACCCAAAGGAGGGGCGGUCUCGCGGGAGAACAGUUUCGCGCGCGCGGGAGCGGGGCACUGGCGGCCAGGGCGUUCCCGGCUGCGCGCGCGGUGCUUACCCCGGGGGAAUUCUGAGCGAGUUCCCGCGCGGGCAGGCUCUGGUGGCGCCCACAGCCCCAAGUCGGAGGGUUCGGGCGGCCCCCGUAACCGUUUUAAAAACUCAGGGCACAUCUGAAAGAGAAAAGGCAGAAACCACUUUAGAUCUGUUGGCAGAUAUGAACAGAUUCACCCCCUAUAUGAAUACGAAGAGAAGAUCGCAUUGCAGCCUGUAGAAGCUGCAAAAGGCAAGAAAAUAAAUUCUCCUCUAGAGCCUCUAGAGGGAAUGCAUCUGUGUCGACACCUUGAUUUUAGUUUGGUAGACUUGUAUAGGACCUCUAACCUAUAUAACUGUAAGAUAAUAAAUUUAUAUCAUUUUAA